GAUGAACGCUGGCGGUAUGCUUAACACAUGCAAGUCGAACGGAGUGCUUCGGCACUCAGUGGCGGACGGGUGAGUAACGCGUGAGAAUCUGGCUUCGGGUUCGGGACAACAGUGGGAAACUGCUGCUAAUACCGGAUGUGCCUAAGGGUAAAAGAUUAAUUGCCCGAAGAUGGGCUCGCGUCCGAUUAGCUAGUUGGUGUGGUAAGAGCGCACCAAGGCGUCGAUCGGUAGCUGGUCUGAGAGGACGAUCAGCCACACUGGGACUGAGACACGGCCCAGACUCCUACGGGAGGCAGCAGUGGGGAAUUUUCCGCAAUGGGCGAAAGCCUGACGGAGCAAUACCGCGUGAGGGAGGAAGGCUCUUGGGUUGUAAACCUCUUUUCUCAGGGAAGAAAAAAAUGACGGUACCUGAGGAAUCAGCAUCGGCUAACUCCGUGCCAGCCGCCGCCGUAAAAC
rnacentral:rRNA from 1 species